UUUAUGGAGAGUUUGAUCCUGGCUCAGGACGAACGCUGGCGGCGUGCCUAAUACAUGCAAGUCGAGCGGACUGAUUAAGAGCUUGCUCUUAUGACGUUAGCGGCGGACGGGUGAGUAACACGUGGG
rnacentral:rRNA from 1 species